GGACAGAUAGCUCAGCGGUAGAGGUACGUCUGAAUGUCUCACUUCGCAGGUCAUCCGUGUUAACCAAGACAUCAGCGAGGGAUUGCAGAUCCCUAGGUCGCGUGUUCGAUCCACGCUCGGUCCU